CUCACUCCCAAAAAAUGAUUGUUGGUUACCCGCUUGUUAGUCCCUCUUCUUCUCAUCUCCGUCGCGCGCCCUAAGUCCCCCAAAUAAAAGUUUGUACUUAAUUCUUUUUCCCUUUUAAUCUCAAAAUUCCAUGAGUUCUUUAGCCCCAACAUCUCGACAAAAGGGUUUUUCGAUCUAUACCAAAAGACCACAGGGAUUGAUCUAUGGAAUUCCCAUUAUGAGAGAAUGGAAGAAAAUUAUAGGAGGUUGAAGGAGAUAAACAAGAAAAUGAGAAGGGAGAUUAGAGAAUGGGGGGAGACUUAAUGAACUUAACAUUAAGGAACUGGAAGCUCUUGAAGCUAAAAUGGAUUCUUCUUUGCUAGCUAUACGUGAGAGGAAGCCUCCAUUGAAAAGACUCCUGACAAUGUUUCUAGGGUACCAUAUCAUCAAAACUCGAACAGACAAGCACAAGAAGAAGGUAAGGAAUUUGGAGGAAAGGCAUGCAAAUCUUGUCAUGGACUUGGUAAGAAUCUUUAGGGGUUGAAUUUCAGAGUAAUUUGUAAUUUUCUUAAUGUUAUGAUCAUCCAAUAGUUGAAAGAAAUUUAGGGUAAAGGAGGUUUCGCACUUUUUUAAUAUAGAAAUUUGUUUUUUUUUUCAAUUUGGUACACUUAUUUAGUAAAGUUAUAUAUUUUGGUUCUAAAAAGUAGUGAUAUAAAUUUUUAGUGUUUAAUUCUAGUUUUAAGGUUAAUUCAAUGAAAGUUAAUUAUUAGUAUUACUAGUGUUGAAUUUUCAUGAUUUUGUUAAUAAAAUAGAUUUAAUUUUAAUUGUGAAUUUGUUUGAUUUUGUGUUUAAUUUGUUAAAUAAGUAUGAUGCUUGUGUUAUUUUGGGUUAUAGAGUUGAAUUGAAGAAAGCUAAUUGUUGAUAUUAUUAGUUAAGGGUAAAUAUAAUUUUUUGUAGUUGAAUUUGGAGUCAAUGUUCAAAUUGAUACUUAUGACUAAAAAAUGUCAGAUAUGACCAGCACCAAAUAGGGCACAGCCUUUUCAACUCCAAUCUUCUCAUUUACCAUCUCAGCGCAUUGCUUCUCUUUGUGGCAGUGAUUUUUUGUUAGACAUUUUGUGUUUUUCGCUAGUUGCUGCAUUGUACCUAAAGUGCAAUUGGCCUUACAAUUCCGCUUUAUGUUUUGUUUAGUUGAGAAGCUAUAAGAAAACUAACGAACUUGGAAUCUUGCAACACAAAUUCCAAACUUAGUCUCUACAUUUUUAAGCUAUGCAACUAAAAAAACUUAUUUGUGCUAAUCAUGCUAUGAGAUUGUGCGACACGAUUAGACAUUAUACCGGCAGUUGCCUUGCUUCUAAGCCUUUCUGUUGGUAAGUAAACAGUAACAAGUUUAUCAAGUAUUCCUUGACCAUGUUGCACUCUCAGAGAAUGUGAAGAAAAAUUGCAGCUUCUGAACUCACCUGAUGAACGGCACCGUAGGCUACAUGAAAUUCCUGACAUACACCGUGAUCCAAAUAGGAAUCUAUUUUCUGAUGAUGCUUCUGGAGAGUUGGAUGAGAAGAAAAAAGGAAUGGAGCUAUCUGUAAAUAGUAUCGAGGCAGAUAAAAUAUGGCACUAUCAAGACCCACUUGGGAAAAUCCAAGGGCCAUUCGCUAUGGCAAUUUUACGCGGAUGGAGCAGUAGUGGUCAUUUUCUUCCUGAAUUGAGAGUAUGGAGAGUAAGUGAAAAGAAAGAAAACUCUAUUCUUUUAACUGACACUUUGGUUGGGCAGUACAGCCAACUGCAACAAUUGGUUCAGCACAGUCACAUGCCAACUGAGGAUGCAAGUAUGGUCAUUGAGGAUGGAUGUUGGAACAAGGAUGAAGAUGCUAGGGAGAGUAAGGAUCAGAAGGUGAACCAGAUGGAAAGUAAACAGCCCAAAGGAAGCUUGAACCUGAUGCAGAAUGAUACAAGUGGUCAUUGCCAAAAUCUGGAAGUUGUUUAUAUUUCAUGUGAAUUUGGGCAGUAGAGUAUACUUAUGGUUUACUUGUAAUUUAGGAUUAAUUAUGCUUUAUAUGAGGAACUUGAUGCUGGGGAUAUGGAGCGGAUGAGAGAUGUGUACAGGUAUCUUUAUGUUCUUGCAAUGGAUUUAUGGUUCUGUUGGUUGUUACUGUUGCUAAAUUGCAAGUGAAAUAAUUGCUUUACUAAUAAAUCUUGUCAACUGAACUCUGCAAGAAAUUUUCCAGUUGCCUACUAUUUGAAUGUUUGCAUGUUUUGGUUUUAUGUUCUGCUAACAGUCCAUUUCAUUACCCUGUAAUGUGCCGAUAAAAAGGGAAAAAGGAAGAAAGAAAAUCUAAAAUUUAACAUUUGACGUUAGCUUUGUUGCACCUUUUUUCUCAUUGAGUGUUCUAUUUCUUUAUGUUAUCAGUAUCUCCGUUCCUUUCAUGGUAGUGUUUAUGUUCCAUAUUUCCUUGUUUUGUAUUGGUGCCUCUCUUCUGGUUUAUUUGUAAGACAGCUCAUUAUAUCUAAAAUGUCAUGAGAAAUGAUGUUGUUUAAAAUAGAGAGAACACAUUUCAGCAUUUGCAUUGUUUCUCUUUGACAUGAGUUAAUGUAUUAUCUUGUGAUUAUAUGUUGGUGGUUUUAUAGUAAUCAAUUGGUAGUGAAUUAUUGUUACAUUUAUAGCAUGCAUCAAAUGUUAUUUUGAUUUUUAUCUUGUCUCCCUCAUCCAUAGGCAUAUGGUGUAUUCUAAAGAAUCAUUCAGUUUUUGGGUGUUUUUCACCAUUCAUAUUUUUGGUUGGUUAUAAUAGACAUUGAAUGGUUCCUCAUUAAUUUAAAAAUUUUCCAGGGAGUGCCUUAAGCUUAUUCUACACGAUAAGUUUUCUUUUGCAAAGAUCUGGCUUCUUACUGCACAGUUUGAAAUAAGACAGCUCAAUCUCAAGGGUGCGCGGCAAAUUUUGGGAAUUGCUAUUGGAAAGGCACCUAA